AUUGAACGCUGGCGGCAGGCCUAAAACAUGCAAGUCGAGCGGAGCGGCGGACGGGUGAGUAAUGCCUAGGAAUCUGCAUGGUAGUGGGGGAGAACGUCCGGAAACGGGAGCUAAUACAGCACACUAUCAGACGAGCCUAGGUAGGAUUAGCUAGUUGUUGGGGUAAAGGCCUACAAAGGCGACGAUCCGUAACUGGUCUGAGAGGAUGAGCAGUCACGCUGGAACUGGUACAAGUUCCAGACUCCUACGGGAGGCAGCAGGGGGGAAUAUUGGACAAUGGGCGAAAGCCUGAUCCAGCCAUGCCGCGUGUGUGAAGAAGGUCUUCGUAUUGUAAAGCACUUUAAGUUGGGAGGCGUUACCAACAGAAUAAGCACCGGCUAACUUCGUACCAGCAGCCGCGGUAAUAC
rnacentral:rRNA from 1 species